UCCUCACCAGUCCUGUCCCCCAGCCCCACAACCAUUUUAAUUGCCCUCCUCUGGAUUCUCUCCAAUUUCUCCACAAUUUGUCAGUUCUAUCCCAAACUCUGUCAGCACCCCUGUUUAACAUGCAAAUUUAAAAAAAAUGAGUUUGUUCAUAGUUCUAGCCUAAAUCAGCAUCACAGCACUGCAGUCAGUGAAGCAACGUCCAUUUACAUCCACGGAGAAACCAGUCCCGGUCGUGUCUGAGGUUCUCCCAUGCGCACUGACAACGGACGUGGAUGUUGUGAUGGGGACGACCCAUGGAAAGCUUGGAGGAGCUGGUACAAGAAGAUGCGAGAACACCACUCCAAAUGCGAUGAGGAAGUUGCUGGCCUUUAGCUGGCAUGGGAGAGUGCACAUGAUGUAGUAACCUCUGACUGGUAUAUUAUUAACAGAAAAUUAAUGAUUAUUAACAGAAAACUAAUGGCUAGCUCAUUGCCAAGACUGGUCUAAUCAACAUUUCAAAGAGAUCAAAGACCCAGAGGGAGCCUGCCUGGGAUGGUCAGCAUGAUGGGCUACAGACUGAAGACUCAAAAUCAGCCCCAAAGUUUGGAGGGGUGGAUGGAUAUUACCAGUGUAAAAUUUAUUGGGGGCACUCGCAUCCUUUUGAGAUGCCUUCCAGUGCCUGGUGCCUCGGCACAGUCUCAUUCAACAUGUGUCUCACCAUAGUGUUGCCUCUCCAAGCAACGUGCAGGCGGCCAAGCUUUCUACAGGAAUGAGCACGCGGUGAGGAGUUGCAGCUCUUCCUUUGAUACUGAAAUACCAGCACGUGGCAUGUGUUCAGUGCCCGUGUCACUCUGGGUGAGGAGUGCUUGCAACACGGGCACGUGACAUGCCGUUACUUAUGCAGUAGGUCAAAAUGGGCUCCCUUCUCCUGAAGGAGAAAUGAAGUCUGAUGCUUCUUCCUCCUUCAAGGUCUGAACAAUGUCCACAACAAAAAGUCCUCCCCUCCGUGGGACAUUGGCAGGUCCCAAUAUUGCUGGCACCUACUUGUGGAGAAAGUCAGACCUUCAGUGCAGCCCCAAGCAUGGGUGACUUGGUCCUAAUCUGGCGUGCGUUGCAUUACCACUGGCCAUUUCUCUUCUUUCCCUGCAGACCCGUAGGGGUCUUGGUAGGUUAUUAUUCCAGCUGUGACCAUGACCCAGCCUUAUCUGGUUCCAAACCCUGCAGACCAGCUAAAGAGGAGGAGGGAAGCUUGCCCUUCAUUUCCACCUGCUUGAUCACAGCUCAGCUAUCCCCUUGUCCUUCAAGAUCCUAUCUGAUAAAGCCAUAGUGGAAAGGCAGCUGACUUGAGGAAGCUUCCUGCAGUAUGUAUGCUCCCUGCCCUCUAAAAAAGCUCUUUCUUGUGUGUGAAUUUGCUGGCCAGUGUUUGGGAACCAAAGAGAAGUGCAAACCAUUGCUGCUUUCUCUUUCCUUUAAGCAGAACUCAGUCGCCUGUAUUGGUGCAUGCUCCAGGCAUGAGCCUAGCACUGCUCAAUGCACCCAUUUCUUUUGAAUGCUUUCCUCUGCGAGGAAUACGGCAAAGCUGCCUGGCCUGUGCGGAGAGCUAAGGAUGUGCGUGCUGUGAGGGAGCAGCUGCAUCUUGCAGACCUGCAUGGUAAAAGCCCCGUAUAUUCAAGCCCCUUUUUCUUCUGGGGACUUCAGUUUGAAAUGCCUCGAGCCUGAAUUUCCACAGGUGCCAAGCACUCAAGCUCCCAUUGUGAUCUGCAGCAGCAGUCAGUCUUUGGCACCUCUGAAAAGCUGGCCCUAGGCAGGGUGUCUCAGUCUCCUGGAAGCCGGGGCUGCUUUAGGAGCUUGAGACUGAAGCCCAGCAACUGGCUGGGGGAGAGGCUUGGGGCAGGACACCUGCUUUGGAAGGUAGGCUUUGGGAGCACGGGUGCUUCUCUGGCCCGAAGGACGGGAAGCUGUAUGGACAUUGCACACGAGCUCUCCUGUGCAAUACAACACGAGUACAGGGUGGGAGGGCUGCUGUUUCUACCAAGCAUUUUGUAUGGUGUCAAAUCAGUGCCUUCCUUCGAGCUUUACAUCCAAGGUGUCACUAUAUCAGUCCGUCCCUGAGCUCCCCAUCUUCUCCCCCACCCAAGCUUAUGUGACGGAGUGACUAAUGGCUUUCCCAAGGCAGCUGCUUUGAGUACGACUUGCAGCUUCAGCUACAGGGUUUGGCGUGAUGCUCGAGACUCGCAGGCAUG